rnacentral:rRNA from 1 species
GAUGAACGCUGGCGGCGUGCCUAAUACAUGCAAGUCGAGCGAACGGACGAGAAGCUUGCUUCUCUGAUGUUAGCGGCGGACGGGUGAGUAACACGUGGAUAACCUACCUAUAAGACUGGGAUAACUUCGGGAAACCGGAGCUAGUACCGGAUAAUAUUUUGAACCGCAUGGUUCAAAAGUGAAAGACGGUCUUGCUGUCACUUAUAGAUGGAUCCGCGCUGCAUUAGCUAGUUGGUAAGGUAACGGCUUACCAAGGCAACGAUGCAUAGCCGACCUGAGAGGGUGAUCGGCCACACUGGAACUGAGACACGGUCCAGACUCCUACGGGAAGCAGCAGUAGGGAAUCUUCCGCAAUGGGCGAAAGCCUGACGGAGCAACGCCGCGUGAGUGAUGAAGGUCUUCGGAUCGUAAAACUCUGUUAUUAGGGAAGAACAUAUGUGUAAGUAACUGUGCACAUCUUGACGGUACCUAAUCAGAAAGCCACGGCUAACUACGUG